rnacentral:lncRNA from 1 species
CUCCCCUGCCUCCCAGGGUCUGUGUGCCUCGUGCACCCCUUAGAGAAGACCCCCAUGGGGCUUACGAAAAUCCAGCUCUUUUGGAUUGAACUGACCUUUCCAGCCCUGGCCAGGACCUCCAAAGCACUCCACCCAUGGACCCUAAUGAAGGCACGUCCCCCUGAUUCCGCUGCUCUCUCUGUCUGUACUCUGCCUUGACCUCCCUGUGUGGCCACUCAGGGUACGCCGUGAACUUCUUCCAGGACUUGUGAGCCAUAAACUUUCCUCUUUAAAUUUCCCUGUGGUCUCUCGUUGAACCGUGGCUCACCAUCUGACACCCUGUGCUCCACUUAACAAAUGUUAAUUUAACCAAGUCACAAUAGGAGCAGAGCAUAGAGUUUUGGAGGUUCUGUGUGGUGACCUCCAAAGUCUAGGGUGCGGCCCGGAAUGGGUAGGUGGAGUUCACUGGAGUCCAGGGGUUAAGAAGUGUUGAAGGUUAGGGAUCGGAAUGGGUCAUCCACAGGAUGAUCUCUUUUUUGGACAAAUCCAAUACUGUACCUGAUGGAGAGGAAGGUGCUGGACUGGAAGCUCCCCUGGUUGGUUUUCUGGAAGCUGAUGGAACCACCGGACUUUUCCAUUGCUGCUACACCAUUUUACAUCCCCACCAACGGUGGGCUUAAUUCUUAAGCUGCUUUCCUCCUUGUGGCUACUGUGCCAGGCUCUACCUCCUCAUACUAUGAUGUCAGAGGAAGGCCGGAAGCUCUUUGUCCAGCAUUCUAAGCAGGAGUUGUGAGACAUGCCCUGCUUGGGCUCCUCAGGUCAUGUGGCUAACCCUGAGCCAAUGGCUGGUCAAGGGAACCACGUGAACUGGUGGGCUUCAGACAACCUGGCCCACCCUCGUCCUGGGGGCAGAGUCAAUAUCCCCCUAAGUACAUUUGCUGCAUGGAGCUUCUAGCGGGAACUGCUGAUACAAAGAGUUCACGCCUCAGUAUAUCAGGAGUCAGAUUGAAACUGUUCGGCCGUCUUUGAGAGCAUUUGCAUUUUCGUUCUGGGAACCCUCCAUGUUACUUGCUCACUCCUCUGCUGGGCUGUUGAUAUCUCUCUUUCUCUCCACCCUUUUUGAGAACGAGGUCUUUAUUUUUUGGCCACUGCUCCUUUUCUUCCUCCCAGUCCAAAGAGAAUGGAAGCUAAAGAGCUGCUCGCACACAGAGCUUCUUUUCUUCUUUUUGAUCCCCAGCCUCACAGACUGUCUGCUUCCUGCAAAUAUGGCUUUCCCGUGCGAUCCUCCUUCAGCCUGGUCUCCGAUGCUCCCUCGCCACGACCAAACCAGGCCCAGGUGCUCCUACCACCAGCCAUGCCCCCAGCUCCUUUGGAAGGAAUCAAGAGAUAAUGGGUCAUGCACCUCGAUUUGUACCACUCGCUCAGGAGAACUCUGCUUCUGCAGAUUUUUAUUUAAAAAUAAAAAGAUUUGCAGCUGCAGCCAUU